rnacentral:rRNA from 1 species
CAGACCGGAAGGACUGGUGGAGCGCUUAGAAGUGAGAAUGCCGGUAUGAGUAGCGAAAGACGGGUGAGAAUCCCGUCCACCGAAUGCCUAAGGUUUCCUGAGGAAGGCUCGUCCGCUCAGGGUUAGUCGGGACCUAAGCCGAGGCCGAAAGGCGUAGGCGAUGGACAACAGGUUGAUAUUCCUGUACCACCUCCUCACCAUUUGAGCAAUGGGGGGACGCAGGAGGAUAGGGUAAGCGCGGUAUUGGAUAUCCGCGUCCAAGCAGUUAGGCUGGGAAAUAGGCAAAUCCGUUUCCCGUGAAGGCUGAGCUGUGAUGGCGAGCGAAAUUUAGUAGCGAAGUUCCUGAUUCCACACUGCCAAGAAAAGCCUCUAGCGAGGUGAGAGGUGCCCGUACCGCAAACCGACACAGGUAGGCGAGGAGAGAAUCCUAAGGUGAUCGAGAGAACUCUCGUUAAGGAACUCGGCAAAAUGACCCCGUAACUUCGGGAGAAGGGGUGCUUCUUAGGGUGUUAAAGCCCCGAGAAGCCGCAGUGAAUAGGCCCAGGCGACUGUUUAGCAAAAACACAGGUCUCUGCGAAGCCGUAAGGCGAAGUAUAGGGGCUGACGCCUGCCCGGUGCUGGAAGGUUAAGAGGAGCGCUUAGCGUAAGCGAAGGUGCGAAUUGAAGCCCCAGUAAACGGCGGCCGUAACUAUAACGGUCCUAAGGUAGCGAAAUUCCUUGUCGGGUAAGUUCCGACCCGCACGAAAGGCGCAACGAUCUGGGCACUGUCUCAACGAGAGACUCGGUGAAAUUAUAGUACCUGUGAAGAUGCAGGUUACCCGCGACAGGACGGAAAGACCCCGUGGAGCUUUACUGCAGCCUGAUAUUGAAUGUUGGUACAGCUUGUACAGGAUAGGUAGGAGCCUUGGAAACCGGAGCGCUAGCUUCGGUGGAGGCAUCGGUGGGAUACUACCCUGGCUGUAUUGACCUUCUAACCCGCUGCCCUUAUCGGGCAGGGAGACAGUGUCAGGUGGGCAGUUUGACUGGGGCGGUCGCCUCCUAAAAUGUAACGGAGGCGCCCAAAGGUUCCCUCAGAAUGGUUGGAAAUCAUUCGCAGAGUGUAAAGGCACAAGGGAGCUUGACUGCGAGACCUACAAGUCGAGCAGGGACGAAAGUCGGGCUUAGUGAUCCGGUGGUUCCGCAUGGAAGGGCCAUCGCUCAACGGAUAAAAGCUACCCCGGGGAUAACAGGCUUAUCUCCCCCAAGAGUCCACAUCGACGGGGAGGUUUGGCACCUCGAUGUCGGCUCAUCGCAUCCUGGGGCUGUAGUCGGUCCCAAGGGUUGGGCUGUUCGCCCAUUAAAGCGGUACGCGAGCUGGGUUCAGAACGUCGUGAGACAGUUCGGUCCCUAUCCGUCGCGGGCGCAGGAAAUUUGAGAGGAGCUGUCCUUAGUACGAGAGGACCGGGAUGGACGCACCGCUGGUGUACCAGUUGUUCUGCCAAGGGCAUCGCUGGGUAGCUAUGUGCGGACGGGAUAAGUGCUGAAAGCAUCUAAGCAUGAAGCCCCCCUCAAGAUGAGAUUUCCCAUUCCGCAAGGAAGUAAGAUCCCUGAAAGAUGAUCAGGUUGAUAGGUCUGAGGUGGAAGCGUGGUGACACGUGGAGCUGACAGAUACUAAUAGAUCGAGGACUUAACCUAUA